GAGGAACCUGAUCCUCCGUAGCGAAGGGCUGGAGGCAAACACCGAGCUCCCCCUGAGCCGCCCGGGAGCAGGGAGGGCUCUGCUACCCAGAGGGGCCCUCCCCGCGGGGCAGAGGUUCAGGACUCCAUCCCGUGGAAUGGUGCCAUCUGAAUUCAGAGUACAUCUUCCCUGUUCAGUUAACCUCUCUGGAAACUCCAUCAUAAGAUGCACCCAGAGGUGUGUUUCCAUGGUGAUUCUAAAUCCAGUCAAGGUGACCGAAGAUUAACCACCACACAAACCCUCGAGAAGGUGGGAAGGACUCAGCACGUACUUCGGAACGUGUGCCUGCCUUGAGGAGAGCCUCGAGAAUGUGGAAAAUUUCAAUCAAAUGAUGCUGUAGAACAUUGCCGGCAGCACACAGUCAAAAAGGCCGAAGAAGAAAGCCACUGUCUCCUGGGUAACCCACAGAGCCCAGUGAAGCACUAGGAAUUGAACCCAGAGCCUUGAACAUGCUUGGCAAGUGCCCUAUCACUGGACUCCAGCUCCAGCCAAUUUGUUACGUCCUAUGAACAAUCCUAGAAGUUCAAACAUAAAGUGAUUUUGUGUGUGCAAGCAUGUGUGCACAUGUGUAUGCUUUUUGAGUGAUACUUGACUUUUCUUUUCUAAAUAUGGGUGCAUUUUGGAUAUGUUGAAUAAGCUUUACUGGGAUGUUAUGCCCCUACAGUGGGUAUGAACGUCCCCCAUUUUAAUUUCCACAUGCUAUUACCUGUAGGUAUACUAGAGGUCUACAGUGCAGGGUAGGUGUGUGGGCCCCACUAACUACUGAUCUAAAAGUUUGAGCCCACAGUAGGCCGUCUAAGAAAUGGGAAGGCCAGGAAAAGGCUAAGAAGAUCAUAGAAAGGGAGAAGGAAAAAGAUGCCAUAUUCAUUUUGUUGGUCUUUUCAUUAUUUUUGCUGGGAGAACUAUUCAAUGAACCUUUUCUAUUUUGGUUAAGGAAGAGGAGAUAGCUUUGACCUUUGGAAAGAACAAGUGUAAAAAUAUGAAAAAUGUAAGAAAAAGGGAAAGCAUUUCAGAGGCUAAAGAUUCCUAUCUUCUCUCGAGAACAUUUAGGUUUUCUUCUUUCUGAAAUUAUGGCCAAAAAUGCAGGGAGGGAGGACAUCUCCCAGAUGUUUCUUUCGAAUUCUCCCAGACGUUCAGAAAAUGGCGAGAGAAGCAGUCAGGCGAUCGCAGAGAGAAAGUUCAGCUGCUGUAGAAGACAUUCAGUAACGGCAUUGAGUAACAGAACUUAGAGCGCAAGUGAUGUGUGCAGCUUUGGAGGAGAGGGCAUGCGGAAAGAUGCAGGGUCGGAGAUAUCAGUGUUGCAGUCAGUGAUAUUUAUCGAGAUAUCCUAAAGCAGCACACAUUCUGUGUCUUUUAAUUAAGUCAUUUUUCUCCAUAAUGGAUCAUUUCAAGGAUGCUGACAAUAUGUUACAGAUGUUACGUUUACUCCCAAAGUUUGCACUUUAAAAUCUCACCCUUCAUGCAUGCAUGCAUUCAUUCAUUCAUUCAUUCAUUCAUUCAUAAACAUCUGUGAGACCUUAGCAUCGUUUAAGUACCAGGAACACAGCAGUGAAAACAACAGAUAAAGCCCCUGCUCACCGGAAGCUCAUGUCCUAAGAUGAGGGGUUAGAAAACAAAGGCAUCCUUACUUUUCAGUACAGGCUCCAUGAGGAGGCGUGUUCUAUAUUCAUUUCUGCCGCUGUGGCAAAUGACCUGGUAGAAAGCAGCACACAGGAGGAAAGGGUUUAUUUGACAAUUCCAAGUCCGUCACUCUGGGGCCAGUCAAGACCGGAACUCAAGCGGUUAGUCACACUGACAGUCAAGAGCUAAGUGAGAACAAACACAUCCUAGGACAUUGAGAGGUGGCUCAGCACUUGCUGAGCUUUCAGAGGACCUCAGUUUUGUUCCCAGCCCCAAACCUGGCCGCUCACAAUGGCCUGUAACUCUAGUUCCAGGGACUCUGAAACCUUCUCCCGGGAGUAAGGAGCAGAGCCUGUUAUUUCCUUCCCAGUAGCCAUCCCUCUCUCCCUCCUUACAAGCAGAGCCCUGGCUUGCUUCAAAUGACAGUACAUCUAGCACCAAGUGAUGAAUCACAGUGGUAUGAUUCAGUCAUAAAAAUCCCAUCCUCUUUUGAUAGAUACUCAAUUUCCCCAUCUUCUUUGCAGCUAAGGAAGUCUUAUUCCUAGCUAAUGAGAUCUGAGGGAAAGCCUUUGGGGAUACAUGGAGCUGUCUGGAGUUCCAUUACAACUCUUGGAACCGUGGUAGACGUCCUGAUUUUAAGACAAAAGGCAUGAAAAUUAAAGAUCAACACGUUAAGGAUGGCAAGAUAGAAAGAAUCCCUGUGUCCUAAAUAGUAUGGUUGAGUGGUUGAAGCAAUACCAUUAAUCAUUUAUUGAUCUGCCAUCUUACAUAACUCCAGGCAAGCCUUGAACUUGCUAUGUACUUGAAGAUUGAGGAUGAGUGAGAGCUUUGGCCCCUCCUGCCUUUCCCUCACUAGUGUUAGGGUUCUGCACUGUCACUGUCCUGGUCAUAUGCAAUGCUGGGGAUCGAAUCCAGGGCUUGGUGCAUUCUAGACAAGCACUCUGUCCACUAAGCUACAUUCCAGCCAAACAUCUUGUUUAUUAAAAAUAAUUAAAAAGUUAACCUCCCUUUCAGCCCAUUAUUUUAUCUGAUACAAGAAGUUUAAGAAAACAAACAAGAGCCGGGCUGUG